GACGAACGCUGGCGGCGCGCUUAACACAUGCAAGUCGAGCGAGAACCUGGGCUUCGGCCCUGGGGACAGCGGCGAACGGGUGAGUAACACGUGGGUAAUCUGCCCUUGACAUCGGGAUAGCCCGGGGAAACCCGGAUUAAUACCGAAUAGCCUCCGGAGCCUUCGGGCGCCGGAGAAAAGGUAGCUUCGGCCUCUGGUCGAGGAUGAGCCCGCGGCGGAUUAGCUUGUUGGCGGGGGAACGGCCCACCAAGGCGACGAUCCGUAGCUGGUCUGAGAGGACGAUCAGCCACACGGGGACUGAGACACGGCCCAGACUCCUACGGGAGGGAGCAGUGGGGAAUCUUGCGCCAAUGCGGGAAACCGUGACGCAGCGACGCCGCGUGGGGGAAGAAGGCCUUCGGGUUGUAAACCUCUUUCAGGAGGGACGAAGCUACUCGGGUUAAUAGCCCAGGGGGUGACGGUACCUCCAGAAGAAGCCCCGGCUAACUACGUGCCAGCCGCCGCCGUAACAC
rnacentral:rRNA from 1 species